rnacentral:ncRNA from 1 species
UCACUUCGCUAGGGGUGUUGGUGCCGCAAGGCAUCGACUGAGAAAGUCCCUUUGAACCUGAUUGAGGUAAUCCUCGCGCAGGGAAGCAGUCGAAUGCCAGG